rnacentral:rRNA from 1 species
GACGAACGCUGGCGGCGCGCCUAACACAUGCAAGUCGAACGGAGUCACGAGGAGCUUGCUUUUCUUGACUUAGUGGCGAACGGGUGAGUAACGCGUGAGUAACCUGCCCUGGAGUGGGGGACAACAGUGGGAAACGACUGCUAAUACCGCAUAAGCCCACGGAUCCGCAUGGAUCUGCGGGAAAAGGAUUUAUUCGCUUCAGGAUGGACUCGCGUCCAAUUAGCUAGUUGGUGAGGUAACGGCCCACCAAGGCGAGGAUUGGUAGCCGGACGGAGAGGUUGAGCGGACACAUUGGGACUGAGCCACGGCCCAGACUCCUACGGGAGGCAGCAGUGGGGGAUAUUGCACCAUGGGGGAAACCCUGAUGCAGCGACGACGCGUGGAGGAAGAAGGUUUUCGGAUUGUAAACUCCUGUCGUGAGGGACGAUCAUGACGGUACCUAACAAGAAAGCACCGGCUAACUACGUG